CAGUCGCCGCGGUAAUACGGAGGGUGCAAGCGUUAAUCGGAAUUACUGGGCGUAAAGCGCACGCAGGCGGUCUGACAAGUCAGAUGUGAAAUCCCCGGGCUUAACCUGGGAACUGCAUUUGAAACUGUCAGGCUGGAGUCUUGUAGAGGGGGGUGGAAUUCCAGGUGUAGCGGUGAAAUGCGUAGAGAUCUGGAGGAAUACCGGUGGCGAAGGCGGCCCCCUGGACAAAGACUGACGCUCAGGUGCGAAAGCGUGGGGAGCAAACAGGAUUAGAUACCCCAGUUGUCCCUGUCUCUUAUAC
rnacentral:rRNA from 1 species